rnacentral:rRNA from 1 species
UUAGAUUUUAUUUAUUAAUUUUAUUUAUUUAUUUAAUUUAUUUAAUAAAAAUAAUUUUAAAAUUUUAAGUUUUAGUAUUUUAUAAAGAAAAAAUAAUUUUAAUUAUAGUUUAUUUGUAUUGUAAAAGAAAAUUGAAAUAAUUUGAAAAAUUUUUAUUUUAAAAGAAAAUUUAAUUUAUUGUACCUUGUGUAUCAGGGUUUAUUAAAUAAAAAAUUAUUAUAUUAAUUUUUCUCGAAUUUUAAAGAUUUAAUUAUAUAUAAAAGUUACUGUGGAAUAAUUAUUUUUAAUAUAUAAUUAGAAAUGAAAUGUUAAUCGUUUUAAAAUAUAUCUAGUUUUUUAAGAAAUAAAUUUAAUUUAGACUUAUAAAUUUAAAUUAUUUAAUUAAUAUAAAUAAUUUAAUUUAUAAGAUUAAUAUUUUAAGGGAUUAGCUUUAAAAUAAAUUUUUAAAUUUUAAAUUAAUUAUUUAAUAAAUAUAAGCUUAAAAAUAGCUAUUAUUAAUAAAUUUGUUAUAAUUUAUUUUAAAAAUUUAAUUAUUUAUUAUAAAAUUAAAUUAUUUAUUAAAAUAUAAAUUUUAAUAAUAAAAAUUUAUAAAUUAUGAUAAAAUUAGUAUAUAAAAUUUUUAUAAAUAAUUAUUUAUGAAAGGUUUAAAUAAGGAAUUCGGCAAAAUAUAUAUUCACCUGUUUAUCAAAAACAUGUCUUUUUGAAUUAAAUUUAAAGUCUAACCUGCCCACUGAUAUAAAUUAAAGGGCCGCAGUAUUUUGACUGUGCGAAGGUAGCAUAAUCACUAGUCUUUUAAUUGGAGGCUUGUAUGAAUGGUUGAAUGAGAUAUAUACUGUCUUUUUUAAAAUUAUAUAGAAUUUUAUUUUUUAAUUAAAAAGUUAAAAUAAAAUUAAAGGACGAGAAGACCCUAUAGAUCUUUAUUUUUGUUAUUUAUAAAUUAAAAAGAAUUUUAAAAUUUAUAAUUUAAUAAAAAAUUUUAUUGGGGUGAUAUUAAAAUUUAAAAAACUUUUAAAAUUUAUUAACAUAAAUAUAUGAAUAAAUGAUCCAGUUUUAUUGAUUAAAAAUUUAAGUUACCUUAGGGAUAACAGCGUAAUUUUUUUUUAGAGUUCAUAUCGACAAAAAAGAUUGCGACCUCGAUGUUGGAUUAAGAGUUAUUUUUAGGUGUAGAAGUUUAAAGUUUAGGUCUGUUCGACCUUUGAAUUCUUACAUGAUCUGAGUUCAAACCGGCGUAAGCCAGGUUGGUUUCUAUCCUUAAUUAAUUAUUAUGUUAUAGUACGAAAGGACCUAAUAUAAGAAAUAUAGAUUUUAAUAAUAUGAUUAAUAUUAAUAUUAGAUA